AAACUUUCAACAACGGAUCUCUUGGUUCUGGCAUCGAUGAAGAACGCAGCGAAAUGGCGAUAAGUAAUGUGAAUUGCAGAAUUCAGUGAAUCAUCGAAUCUUUGAACGCACCAUUGCGCCCGCCAGUAUUCUGGCGGGGCAUGCCGGUUCAAGCGUCAUUA
rnacentral:rRNA from 1 species